rnacentral:rRNA from 1 species
CCUACGGGAGGCAGCAGUGGGGAAUAUUGGGCAAUGGACGCAAGCCUGACCCAGCAACGCCGCGUGAAGGAAGAAGGCUUUCGGGUUGUAAACUUCUUUUCUGAGGGACGAAGAAAGUGACGGUACCUCAGGAUUAAGCACCGGCUAACUACGUGCCAGCAGCCGCGGUAAUACGUAGGUGGCAAGCGUUAUCCGGAUUUCUUGGUGGUAAGGGGCGUGUAGGCGGGAAAGCAAGUCGGAUGUGAAAACCCAGGGCUCAACCCCGAGCCUGCAUUUGAAACUGUUUUUCUUGAGUGCUGGAGAGGCAAUCGGAAUUCCUGGUGUAGCGGUGAAAUGCGUAGAUAUACGGAGGAACACCAGUGGCGAAGGCGGAUUGCUGGACAGUAACUGACGCUGAGGCGCGAAAGCGUGGGGAGCAAACAGGAUUAGAUACCCCUGUAGUC